AACGAGAUGGAGAUGGAGAGGUACACCAGUCAGCGGUGGAGACCUACUGACGAUCAAGUCAGAAUGAUGACCAAUAUUUACAAUUACGGGGUCACACAUCCCAGCAGAGCGCAAGUCGUCGAAAUUGCGUCUCGACUAAGGGUUUUCGCAGAUGUCACUGAAUACAAUGUGCACUGCUGGUUUAACAACCACGGCAAUCGGGUCAGGCGCUGGCAAGCGGAGAUAGACCCUACUGGCACUCAGUUCUCACAACUGCCGCUAUACAUGUAUGAAAACGACUGGGUGAUCAUGAGG
rnacentral:sRNA from 1 species